ensembl:snoRNA
AGCACAUCUCCAGUUUUUGUGUUUUUGCUGUGGACAAAAUCUUGGAGUAAGUGCUAAGAAUAAAUCCUUCUCUUGCAACCCACAACUCAUCAAUAUAUGAGCGGUGUUACUUUUCAGAAGGGACAAU